UACGUAGGGUGCAAGCGUUGUCCGGAAUUAUUGGGCGUAAAGAGCGUGUAGGCGGUCCGGUUAGUCCGCUGUGAAAGUCCAGGGCUCAACCCUGGAAUGCCGGUGGAUACUGUCGGGCUAGAGUCCGGAAGGGGCGAGUGGAAUUCCUGGUGUAGCGGUGAAAUGCGCAGAUAUCAGGAGGAACACCGGUGGCGAAGGCGGAUCUCUGGGCCGAUACUGACGCUGAGGAGCGAAAGCGUGGGGAGCGAACAGG
rnacentral:rRNA from 1 species